rnacentral:rRNA from 1 species
UACGGGGGGAGCGAGCGUUGUUCGGAUUUACUGGGCGUAAAGGGCGCGUAGGCGGCCACCGCAAGUCGGUUGUGAAAUCUCCGGGCUUAACCCGGAAAGGUCAAUCGAUACUGCGGGGCUAGAGUGCAGAAGGGGCAACUGGAAUUCUCGGUGUAGCGGUGAAAUGCGUAGAUAUCGAGAGGAACACCUGCGGCGAAGGCGGGUUGCUGGGCUGACACUGACGCUGAAGCGCGAAAGCUAGGGGAGCGAACGGG